GAUGAACGCUGGCGGCGUGCCUAAUACAUGCAAGUCGAGCGAACAGAUGAGGAGCUUGCUCCUCUGACGUUAGCGGCGGACGGGUGAGUAACACGUGGAUAACCUACCUAUAAGACUGGGAUAACUUCGGGAAACCGGAGCUAAUACCGGAUAAUAUAUUGAACCGCAUGGUUCAAUAGUGAAAGACGGUUUUACUGUCACUUAUAGAUGGAUCCGCGCCGCAUUAGCUAGUUGGUAAGGUAACGGCUUACCAAGGCAACGAUGCGUAGCCGACCUGAGAGGGUGAUCGGCCACACUGGAACUGAGACACGGUCCAGACUCCUACGGGAGGCAGCAGUAGGGAAUCUUCCGCAAUGGGCGAAAGUCUGACGGAGCAACGCCGCGUGAGUGAUGAAGGUCUUCGGAUCGUAAAACUCUGUUAUUAGGGAAGAACAAAUGUGUAAGUAACUAUGCACGUCUUGACGGUACCUAAUCAGAAAGCCACGGCUAACUACGUG
rnacentral:rRNA from 1 species